GAUGAACGCUGGCGGCGUGCCUAAUACAUGCAAGUCGAGCGAACAGACGAGGAGCUUGCUCCUCUGACGUUAGCGGCGGACGGGUGAGUAACACGUGGAUAACCUACCUAUAAGACUGGGAUAACUUCGGGAAACCGGAGCUAAUACCGGAUAAUAUAUUGAACCGCAUGGUUCAAUAGUGAAAGACGGUUUUGCUGUCACUUAUAGAUGGAUCCGCGCUGCAUUAGCUAGUUGGUAAGGUAACGGCUUACCAAGGCAACGAUGCGUAGCCGACCUGAGGGGGGGAUCGGCAACACUGAAACGGGGACACGGUCCAGACUCCUACGGAAGGCAGAGGGAGGGAAUCUUCCGCAAUGGGCGAAAGCCUGACGAGGCAACGCCGCGUGGGUGAUGAAGGUCUUCGGAUCGUAAAACUCUGUUAUGAGGAAAGAACAAAUGUGUAAGUAACUAUGCACGUCUUAACGGUACCAAAUCAGAAGACCACGGCUAACUACGU
rnacentral:rRNA from 1 species